UUCUGUAAGCCUGCGAAGGUGGCCUGUGAGGGUUGCUGGAGGUAUCAGAAGUGCGAAUGCUGACAUAAGUAACGAUAAUGCGGGUGAAAAGCCCGCACGCCGGAAGACCAAGGGUUCCUGUCCAACGUUAAUCGGGGCAGGGUGAGUCGACCCCUAAGGCGAGGCCGAAAGGCGUAGUCGAUGGGAAACAGGUUAAUAUUCCUGUACUUGGUGUUACUGCGAAGGGGGGACGGAGAAGGCUAUGUUAGCCGGGCGACGGUUGUCCCGGUUUAAGCAUGUAGGCGGAGGUUCCAGGUAAAUCCGGUACCUUUUAACGCUGAGGUGUGAUGACGAGGCACUACGGUGCUGAAGUAACAAAUGCCCUGCUUCCAGGAAAAGCCUCUAAGCAUCAGGUAACAUUGAAUCGUACCCCAAACCGACACAGGUGGUCAGGUAGAGAAUACCAAGGCGCUUGAGAGAACUCGGGUGAAGGAACUAGGCAAAAUGGUGCCGUAACUUCGGGAGAAGGCACGCUGAUAUGUAGGUGAAGCCCCUGCGGGUGGAGCUGAAAUCAGUCGAAGAUACCAGCUGGCUGCAACUGUUUAUUAAAAACACAGCACUGUGCAAACACGAAAGUGGACGUAUACGGUGUGACGCCUGCCCGGUGCCGGAAGGUUAAUUGAUGGGGUUAUCCGUAAGGAGAAGCUCUUGAUCGAAGCCCCGGUAAACGGCGGCCGUAACUAUAACGGUCCUAAGGUAGCGAAAUUCCUUGUCGGGUAAGUUCCGACCUGCACGAAUGGCGUAAUGAUGGCCAGGCUGUCUCCACCCGAGACUCAGUGAAAUUGAACUCGCUGUGAAGAUGCAGUGUACCCGCGGCAAGACGGAAAGACCCCGUGAACCUUUACUAUAGCUUGACACUGAACAUUGAGCCUUGAUGUGUAGGAUAGGUGGGAGGCUUUGAAGCGUGGACGCCAGUCUGCGUGGAGCCAACCUUGAAAUACCACCCUUUAAUGUUUGAUGUUCUAACGUUGGCCCCUGACCGGGGUUGCGGACAGUGUCUGGUGGGUAGUUUGACUGGGGCGGUCUCCUCCCAAAGAGUAACGGAGGAGCACGAAGGUUAGCUAAUCCUGGUCGGACAUCAGGAGGUUAGUGCAAUGGCAUAAGCUAGCUUGACUGCGAGCGUGACGGCGCGAGCAGGUGCGAAAGCAGGUCAUAGUGAUCCGGUGGUUCUGAAUGGAAGGGCCAUCGCUCAACGGAUAAAAGGUACUCCGGGGAUAACAGGCUGAUACCGCCCAAGAGUUCAUAUCGACGGCGGUGUUUGGCACCUCGAUGUCGGCUCAUCACAUCCUGGGGCUGAAGUAGGUCCCAAGGGUAUGGCUGUUCGCCAUUUAAAGUGGUACGCGAGCUGGGUUUAGAACGUCGUGAGACAGUUCGGUCCCUAUCUGCCGUGGGCGCUGGAGAAUUGAGGGGGGCUGCUCCUAGUACGAGAGGACCGGAGUGGACGCAUCACUGGUGUUCGGGUUGUCAUGCCAAUGGCAUUGCCCGGUAGCUAAAUGCGGAAGAGAUAAGUGCUGAAAGCAUCUAAGCACGAAACUUGCCCCGAGAUGAGUUCUCCCUGAGACUUUAAGUCUCCUGAAGGAACGUUAAAGACGAUGACGUUGAUAGGUCGGGUGUGUAAGCGUAGCGAUACGUUGAGCUAACCGAUACUAAUGAACCGUGAG
rnacentral:rRNA from 1 species